GCCGCUGCCGGCGUCGCCGCACCAGCUCGGACGCACUGCCCCGCGGGGCCGCGGCUCCAGCAGCUACUACGUACGUGCUGGCCCGCACUGCCGAGGGACCGGACGCCUGCCCCAGGCGGGACAAUGCCGGGUGCAGCGCUGGCGGGGCCUGGACGCCAAGCUUCAGGGUCCCCAGCCCCUCAGUCAGAGGGGGCGCCUCCCAGGCCCUGGACUCCUCUCCAGCCGGGUCUACACCACCGUCCCCCGUCAUCUUCUUCUGGGUUACUGAGCAGCUUCUUUUAAAAUAGCAACACCGAGGAAGGCCCCGAAGCCCAGUCUUGCACCUCGUGGUGUGAAGUCGUUUAAUCCUGCCCGCUAAUGCGUAAGGACUUUCCACCGUGUGCAGGACUCCGCGCUGGGCAGGGGCUCUCGCAGGGUUUGAACCGACCUCCGCCUCCCCUGCGGGUUCACAGGCCUGCGAGGAAGUCGCGUGAAGGAGAUUCGCUACUGUGUGAGGCUGGCCUGCGCGGCGUGGGCAGUAGCUGUCCGGGGCUGGGGACAGCUUUCGGCUCCCCAGGCCAUCCCGUCGGGGCAUCUGCGGCCAAUCUCGAAGGUGGAGAGGCUCAGGGUUGGAACAGACUUCACGGAAGGGGUCCUAGAAGAGGAAAGGGGUCGUGUUUGCCCUUAGAGCAGUCUGGGCGUGAAGCGGAAACUUUAAACCACCAGAAACUCUGGAGAGCUUGGAGCACCUGGGAAGGAGCAACCAGAGUGGGCCGGAGGUAGGGAAGGAAGGCACCCACGGCGAAUUUGCCCGCUUUGACCGCAUUUAGGGCGGCCGCUUGUGCAGCCAGCCUUCUGGAAGGUAGGCUUUGCGCUUGGUGAAGAGAAGCCCCCACCUCCGGAUCUGUGUUCCGCCCCAGUCCAUUCAUCAGGAGGUGAUCACACAAGUCAAGCUUCUCUAGUUCCCGGUGGAAUGAGACGCCCUGGUGGGGUCUUAAGGUUGAACGUUUGAAUACUGUAAAAAAGAUGGGACCUGCCUACAAUUAAUCUCUCACACUACUGAGCGAAUGUGCGUUGUUUUGGACUUCCCUAAAUUGGCCCAAAUGCAUAGCCAACACUUGAAUUGCGGUGUACUAACAACAUCAUUCAGCACCAAACCAAACCAUUCUUAUUUAAACCUUGCUUCCUAGCUUAUUUAUUUCCCAAACAACUUGAAAACAUUUGUUAUACUAAAAUGUCUACAUCUUACUAUUAAAAAAAAAAAACCAAAGUAACACACUUUGCUGCUGCCGUAAUUUUAUGUCACUGAGAUGAACUAUUCUACAAUACUUGUAAUUUCAAAUUUGUUAAACUUUCAGCUAAGUAGUUUUACCCAAAUUCUAAAACCAGUGAGGAAUCCAAAAUAGCACGCAGCAUUAAAUGACGUUUAUUGUUCCAUAAAUCUUCAGACUUCAAAAAGAAACGCUAAAUAGACAAACAGAACUCUAAAGCAAUUAAGAGACAAGCUCGCUGCUUCUUCCCCACUGACUGGCAAGGAAACAUUUGGUCAUACAAAAGCCAUUAAAAUGACGGAAAGGAGAGUUGCCACUCUCUAGCCUUUUUUGUUCUGAUCAAGUUUGAACUCUGCUGUUCGGAGUUCACACAAUUUACGUAGUAACAGACCUUCAGAGAAUUCCUAACGGUCAAGACAAUGAAAUUGCAUUUAUAUCUGUAAAAGGAAAAGAAACAUGAAGAUUAUCCCCAUUUUAGAGGUGGACACAUUUAGAUUUGAUUUGAGCUCCAGAUGAUCCUUGGCAAAGAAAGAUGAUGCAAUCCGGUGUACAGGACGCCAUAUUGCCCUAGCCUGGAACCGUGUUCUAGCCGCUGAAGAGCCUAUUCUGUGGCUUUCAAAAUGUUCUUUUCUCCUAGCUUUACGUUUUCUCUCCAGCGCUAAAUCCGUGGGGAUAAGCCACCAUAAACAAAGCUCCCACUGUCAAUGUCCUAAUCUUGAGUGGCAGGAAAAUUGGUAAUAUCAAAAAUGGGAGUAGACAGUGAAAAUUAUUUUAAAAGAUAAUUCUAUUAUGUACAAAUUUAAAAGAUAUCAGGUGGGCCGGGCGUGGUGGUUCACGCCUGUAAUCUCAGCACUUUGGGAGGCUGAGGUGGGCGGAUCACCUGAGGUCAGGGGUUCGAGACCAGCCCGGCCAACAUGGCAAAACCCCGUCUGUGCUAAAAAAUACAAAAAUUAGUCAGGUGUGGUGGCAGGCAGCUGUAAUCCCAGCUACUCGGGAGGCUGAGGCAGGAGAAUCGCUUGAACCUGGGAGGCGGAGGUUGCAGUGGGCCGAGAUCCUGCCACUGCACUCCAGCCUGGGCAACAGAGCAAUACUCCAUCUAAAAAAAAUAAAAUAAAAAUAAAAUAUAUCAAGCACACCUAUAGUCCCAGCUGCUCAGGAGGCUGAGGCAAGAAGAUCACUUGAGGCUAGGAGUUCAAGGCACUAUAACCGUGCCUUUGAAUAGCCACUGCAUUCCAGCCUGGGCAACAUAAGGAGACCCUACCUCUUAAAAAAAAUGUUUAUAUGUAAACACACACACACACACACACACACACACACACACCCCUUUAAUCCAGCAAUCCCAGUACAAUUAUUUUCCUGUGACAUUAAAGUUGCUCAAGAUAUACAAGGAUAUUCACUGAAGCAUGUUUGAUAAUAACAAAGCCAGAAAAACCACCAGUAGCCAUC
rnacentral:lncRNA from 10 species